GACGAACGCUGGCGGCGUGCUUAACACAUGCAAGUCGAACGGAAAGGCCCUGCGUUUGUGGGGUGCUCGAGUGGCGAACGGGUGAGUAACACGUGAGUAACCUGCCCUUGACUUUGGGAUAACUUCAGGAAACUGGGGCUAAUACCGGAUAGGAGCUCCUGCUGCAUGGUGGGGAUUGGAAAGUUUCGGCGGUUGGGGAUGGACUCGCGGCUUAUCAGCUUGUUGGUGGGGUAGUGGCUUACCAAGGCUUUGACGGGUAGCCGGCCUGAGAGGGUGACCGGCCACAUUGGGACUGAGAUACGGCCCAGACUCCUACGGGAGGCAGCAGUGGGGAAUAUUGCACAAUGGGCGGAAGCCUGAUGCAGCAACGCCGCGUGCGGGAUGACGGCCUUCGGGUUGUAAACCGCUUUCGCCUGUGACGAAGCGUGAGUGACGGUAAUGGGUAAAGAAGCACCGGCUAACUACGUG
rnacentral:rRNA from 1 species